GCUCUUCCGAUCUGAAAUAUUUGCAUGGAGGAUCGCAGGCGCUGCUUGCCGCAAUACGGCAAAGGUACUGGCCGAUUGGAGGCCGCAAGUUCGUCGCCAGCGUUAUCAACAAAUGCGUCCGAUGUUUCCGAAUGAAGCCUGUUACUUGGGAGCACGUCAUGGG